AUGUCAUCCCGUGAGGUGACGAAGACGCAGAAAUAUAUGAAAUUCUUUGAGAAUGAGAUCAUCCUCUUUUUAAUGAAGUCAUACUCUGAGGGCCUAUUGCUGUA
rnacentral:sRNA from 1 species